rnacentral:sRNA from 1 species
GCUGACCAGACUGCGUGCUUGCACGCAAGGAUGGGAAGACAUCUGACUACCAAGCCGGUAUGAGUAAGGAGGGCGAUAGCCCGUAUUACGAAUAUCGGCGGCAACUGCGGGAGUGCCGAAGGCGCGGAGCAGUUGGCUUU